CGUACACUCCUGCGGGAGGCAGCAGUGGGGAAUAUUGGACAAUGGGCGCAAGCCUGAUCCAGCCAUGCCGCGUGAGUGAUGAAGGCCCUAGGGUUGUAAAGCUCUUUCACCGGUGAAGAUAAUGACGGUAACCGGAGAAGAAGCCCCGGCUAACUUCGUGCCAGCAGCCGCGGUAAUACGAAGGGGGCUAGCGUUGUUCGGAUUUACUGGGCGUAAAGCGCACGUAGGCGGACUAUUAAGUCAGGGGUGAAAUCCCGGGGCUCAACCCCGGAACUGCCUUUGAUACUGGUAGUCUUGAGUUCGAGAGAGGUGAGUGGAAUUCCGAGUGUAGAGGUGAAAUUCGUAGAUAUUCGGAGGAACACCAGUGGCGAAGGCGGCUCACUGGCUCGAUACUGACGCUGAGGUGCGAAAGCGUGGGGAGCAAACAGGAUUAGAAACCCCAGUAGUCCCAU
rnacentral:rRNA from 1 species